rnacentral:rRNA from 1 species
GACGAACGCUGGCGGCGUGCCUAAUACAUGCAAGUCGAACGCACUCUCGUUUAGAUUGAAGGAGCUUGCUCCUGAUUGAUAAACAUUUGAGUGAGUGGCGGACGGGUGAGUAACACGUGGGUAACCUGCCCUAAAGUGGGGGAUAACAUUUGGAAACAGAUGCUAAUACCGCAUAAAACCUAACACCGCAUGGUGUAGGGUUGAAAGAUGGUUUCGGCUAUCACUUUAGGAUGGACCCGCGGUGCAUUAGUUAGUUGGUGAGGUAAAGGCUCACCAAGACCGUGAUGCAUAGCCGACCUGAGAGGGUAAUCGGCCACACUGGGACUGAGACACGGCCCAGACUCCUACGGAGGCAGCAGUAGGGAAUCUUCCACAAUGGACGAAAGUCUGAUGGAGCAACGCCGCGUGAGUGAAGAAGGUUUCGGAUCGUAAAACUCUAGUUGUUGGUAGAAGAAUGUAUCUGAUAGUAACUGAUCA